CUUGUAGUUUUUUGUAGCUACUGUCGCUGUUGACUUAUCACGGAUUCCAUGGCCUGCCGACACUGGAGCAGUGCAGGUGUCAUAAACGGAGCAGUUGUUGUCAGUGUCAUCACAGCCCUCAGGCUAUGUAGAGCCUGUCUGCCAUCGAACAGGAGGAAGCAGCAGGAGAGUGACAGUAAAUGUUAUGUUAUUAGUGCAGGAGAGCAUUAAGUCAAAAGCUGAUCUUGCAAGGAAGCAUCACUUCCUGUACAUACACUGCAGGGACGACCCACUGAUGAGCAGACGGCAAAGUUUUCUUAUCAAAUUCCAUCUACAAGUUAUGUCUGCUUAUGCAGCUCCAAAUGAAAAGCAAAGGGAUUAUAUUGAUACAUCUGCUAUUAUUGAAGACUUCCUUCCCCUGCACUUGGAUCCAGCAACCCCCUUUUGGCAGCGUCAACAUUACAUACCGUUAUUAGAAAAUAUUGUAAAUCCUCCCUGACUGUUAGAUCUCUCCACGCUAAU